CCAAUGGGUUUAAUGUAUAUACUGUGCAUUUUACUUCAUAGGACAGCAAAGUUGGAGUUAGCGCGUAAAACUAAGCGAUGGUUUUCGUUGAAACCGACUAAAAUUUAAAAAGUUAUACCACAUAUGAGUUUUUUGGGAAAAGCGGCGAUUUCGAAAACGUACGGCGACUAAUCCAUUGCUUAAGAUCUGCCAAAUUCUUCGGAACCUUUCAGGGCGUCUGCCAUUUAAGUAACUGCCGAGUUUCACCUUCCACAAUCGACAGUUCGCGGUUUAAAGCUCACCGUACGGUGCUACCAUGUAGUAGAAUUCCCAGCUUGGCAUUUGCUGUUGAAUUGGUGUUGCUUGGCAUUUUGUCGGCAUUCAUGUAGAUUAUCGGUCGAUUAUUAUAUGUCAGCAUGUUUUAUUUAUUACUUAUUAAUAAUUAUAAGUAAUAUAUAUUUGCUUUGUUUUACAUCACUAUUCCGGCGAAGUCAGAACCGUUAGUCAUGCCUGUGCCGGAAUAUAAAGGAAAACUUCAACUAGAUCGGAUUAAAUAAACUGUCGGCCAGCUUAA